GGGGACAGCCGGGGGCGCUGAGGCGGGGCUGAGGCGGCUAGGCGCCCGCCUGGGGCCGUGACAGGAGCGUUGGGCGGGCCCCGGGACCUCCUGGCACCCGCUGCUGGGCCGGACAGAACCGAUGGGAAAGGCGAAAAGAAGCGAGAAGGGGGCGAAGCGGGCCCCGUUGCAGGCGACUGCGGUGGGGAAGACGCGUUACCUGCACCCGCGAGCCCCCAGGAGUCCGGAUGUUGCGGGUGGAAACACAAGCUCGCCUUGAAGGCAGCUGCGAAAACGGUUCACGUUUUAGGAAAACGCAGAAGGGAAAGUUCUUCUCAAGUGGUCACCCGGCUUGGAGCAGGGAGAGAUCGGAGAGCUGUGCAGCCGCAGGAAACUCUGCCGGAAAGGAAUAUGUAAAGGGAUGCCAAACUCUUUGUCCUGUGAAGAGUGAUGCAGACAAAGUGCCAGCUAUUCAGCAAUGACUCUGCAGUUAAAGGGCUGUGAAUACACGUCCUUCAGGUCCUGGAAGGAAGCCCUUCUGCAUGAUUACAGUUCCGAUAUCACAUCACAUGUAACUUGACUCUCAGAGAAUUUUGGUUUCUAUAUCAUGGAAAACUAGGGUCCCUGAAUAUUGCUCUUCAGUUAGCCAUGGGAGUAAGGUCUGAAGAACUCCCUCUCCUAAAAAACAGUUAAGAGGUGAAUGCUUCGGAUCCAGUGUUCCCAAAUCUUGCUGAUCAAUUAGGACUGACCUAGACUCUCAAGGCCAAAUUGGAGGUGAGCUGAGAUAUGAUAUCUUGGUCAACAGGAGAGAGUUGAAACCUCAGUAGUCUCUCUAAACCUGGCUGGAAACAUCCAUCAGAGAGUUUUAAAUUUUGUAUAUUUGGCAGCCUAGUCCCCAAACCAAGAUCACUGGGAUUACAGAAAAGUAUGCAGAACAAAGACCAUAAAGCUAAAAAACAAAUGCAAGAUUCCAUCAAAUGGGCAUAGGUUAGCCCAAUAUAUUUAAAUUGCUAAUUUAGAUAUAUGGAGAAAGAUAAGUUUCCAAGAAUUAAAGUCUGACCAAGAUAUACACCACAGUUGGGAAGUACACGUGAUUUCAUAAAAAGCUGUCACUGCUUAAGAAGCCUUAGUUCAUUCAAAAGGCAGCAGCCCUUCUAUGUUGCAACACAGAUAACCAGGAACACUUCACCUCAUGUUCUGCCUUUUGUACCAUUUCCCUGUUAAACAGCAAUCAAGUACAAGGCUUCAUUUUAUAUUAAAAAACCCUCCACAGGCUGAACCAAAGCUAUUGACAUGAACACAUUAUGCUGAAUGAUAACCUCCCAAAAUUAGACCAAUCCUUUGAAACAGUGAAAGUUAACCAUAAGAUUGGGACUAGUGUGAGUGGGAGACAAAAUGUUCUUGGCAACUGGCCUGCAACUAUGAAUUUACUUUUAGAAGAGAUUAGGAUUACAUUUCGUUCUUCAACAGCCUUCUUCUGAUAAUAGAACACUGAGUUACAUGUUAAAUAAAAUAAACAUAAAUGGGGGAUGAAA